AUACGGAGGAUGCGAGCGUUAUCCGGAUUUAUUGGGUUUAAAGGGAGCGUAGGCGGGAGCUUAAGUCAGCGGUUAAAUGGUGCGGCUCAACCGUGCCCUGCCGUUGAAACUGGGUUUCUUGAGAGUGCAAGAGGCGGAUGGAAUUCAUGGUGUAGCGGUGAAAUGCUUAGAUAUCAUGAAGAACUCCGAUUGCGAAGGCAGUCCGCUGGGGCACGUCUGACGCUGAUGCUCGAAGGUGCGGGAAUCAAACAGGAUUAGAUACCCUGGUAGUCCGCACGGUAAACGAUGAUUACCCGCUGUCGGCGGCAGACAGUCGGCGGCCAAGCGAAAGCGAUAUGUAAUCCACCUGGGGAGUACGCCGGCAACGGUGAAACUCAAAUGAAUUGACGGGG
rnacentral:rRNA from 1 species